rnacentral:rRNA from 1 species
AGAGCUCAGAUUUGAAAUCGUGCUUUGCGGCACGAGUUGUAGAUUGCAGGUUGGAGUCUGUGUGGAAGGCGGUGUCCAAGUCCCUUGGAACAGGGCGCCCAGGAGGGUGAGAGCCCCGUGGGAUGCCGGCGGAAGCAGUGAGGCCCUUCUGACGAGUCGAGUUGUUUGGGAAUGCAGCUCCAAGCGGGUGGUAAAUUCCAUCUAAGGCUAAAUACUGGCGAGAGACCGAUAGCGAACAAGUACUGUGAAGGAAAGAUGAAAAGCACUUUGAAAAGAGAGUGAAACAGCACGUGAAAUUGUUGAAAGGGAAGGGUAUUGCGCCCGACAUGGGGAUUGCGCACCGCUGCCUCUCGUGGGCGGCGCUCUGGGCUUUCCCUGGGCCAGCAUCGGUUCUUGCUGCAGGAGAAGGGGUUCUGGAACGUGGCUCUUCGGAGUGUUAUAGCCAGGGCCAGAUGCUGCGUGCGGGGACCGAG